rnacentral:lncRNA from 1 species
GGAAACAUACAACGGUGGCAUAUAAAAGAGGGAUGAACAGUAGCAGAAUCAAGUAUCUUUUUUGUUCUAUAGGGAUAGCAAUAGGGACAAGGACACUGAGGAUAGACGAAUUUAAAGCUCACACUAGUGUGUACUAAAAAUCCACAUCAAUCACAUACUUCUUUGUGCAGAUUUUGUAAUGUAUGAAAACUUUCUACUAUGAUUAGGGAAGUAAUGGAAGUUCAAUACAUAACAAUUAGUUUACACAUGAAUUCUCAGAACGAAAAUACACACAGACAAUACAGUUCUGGUGGUUUUACAAACAGGCAUAAUUUAUGAACCCCGAAUGUAGAAUAAAGAAAGCCUAAAUUAAAAAAAGAAAAAAUAGAGAGCAAUUCGACUAUAAUAAUGGACAAGACAAAGGUAACCAUCUUCUUUCAAGAUUAUGAAAUCUACACUACCGAGCUUAUAAAUCUAGAUAAUCCCCAUGUUUGCACUAUAUUUCUAACAAUAAAUUACACCCACAGUUUAAUGCUCU